UACAGAGGGUGCAAGCGUUGUUCGGAAUUAUUGGGCGUAAAGGGUGCGUAGGCGGUGCGGUAAGUCUGUAGUGAAAUCGCAGGGCUUAACUCUGCGGCUGCUUCCGAAACUGCCGUGCUCGAGUGUGAGAUAGGCGAGUGGAAUUGCAGGUGUAGCGGUGAAAUGCGUAGAUAUCGGGAGGAACACCUGUGGCGAAAGCGGCGCACUGGACCAUAACUGACGCUGAGGCGCGAAAGCUAGGGGAGCAAACAGG
rnacentral:rRNA from 1 species